CGCGCAGCGAGAGGUGCUUGCACCUUUCAAGCGAGUGGCGAACGGGUGAGUAACACGUGGAUAACCUGCCUCAAGGCUGGGGAUAACAUUUGGAAACAGAUGCUAAUACCGAAUAAAACUUAGUAUCGCAUGAUACAAAGUUAAAAGGCGCUACGGCGUCACCUAGAGAUGGAUCCGCGGUGCAUUAGUUAGUUGGUGGGGUAAAGGCCUACCAAGACAAUGAUGCAUAGCCGAGUUGAGAGACUGAUCGGCCACAUUGGGACUGAGACACGGCCCAAACUCCUACGGGAGGCUGCAGUAGGGAAUCUUCCACAAUGGGCGCAAGCCUGAUGGAGCAACGCCGCGUGUGUGAUGAAGGCUUUCGGGUCGUAAAGCACUGUUGUAUGGGAAGAAAUGCUAAAAUAGGGAAUGAUUUUAGUUUGACGGUACCAUACCAGAAAGGGACGGCUAAAUACGUGCCAGCAGCCGCGGUAAUACGUAUGUCCCGAGCGUUAUCCGGAUUUAUUGGGCGUAAAGCGAGCGCAGACGGUUGAUUAAGUCUGAUGUGAAAGCCCGGAGCUCAACUCCGGAAUGGCAUUGGAAACUGGUUAACUUGAGUGUUGUAGAGGUAAGUGGAACUCCAUGUGUAGCGGUGGAAUGCGUAGAUAUAUGGAAGAACACCAGUGGCGAAGGCGGCUUACUGGACAACAACUGACGUUGAGGCUCGAAAGUGUGGGUAGCAAACAGGAUUAGAUACCCUGGUAGUCCACACCGUAAACGAUGAAUACUAGGUGUUAGGAG
rnacentral:rRNA from 1 species